AGCAGUCGCCGCGGUAAAACGGGGGGGGCAAGUGUUAUUCGGAAUGACUGGGCGUAAAGGGCACGUAGGCGGUGAAAAGGGUGGAAAGUGAAAGUCGCCAAAACACUGGCGGGGUGCUUUCUUGACCAUUUCACUUGAGUGAGAUAGGGGAGAGUGGAAUUUCGUGUGGAGGGAUCAAAUCCUAAGAUAUACGAAGGAACGCCAACCGCGAAGGCAGCUCUCUGGGUCCCCACUGACGCUGGGGUGCGAAAGCAUGGGGAGCAAACAGGAUCAGAUACCCGGGUAGUCCCUGUCUCUUAUACC
rnacentral:rRNA from 1 species